rnacentral:lncRNA from 1 species
CCAUUGUUGGAUAAGUUCAUCACUCUGAGUGACCUCAGCAUUUGUAUCUCUUCUGGUAUUCUCCCAUGGAAACUAUUGUUGGAAAGGUCAAGACAAGUAAGAACAGUUAAGAUUUUUGGUAAAAUAGUUCAACCCCCCUGUUAACAAUUGUCACAGAGUCUUUAUAAUAGACGUCCCCAAUGUAAACCCGCUUAGCCUUUUCAUCAUUAGUCAUCUUCGCCAUUGCCUUCAAACUCUGCAAAAAUUCAAUGGACAAGUCACCUGAAAAAUUGUUGGAAGCAAUGUCCAAUAUGCGUAGCUUUGGAAACCCACAUUCCGUGUCGAUUUUUGAAAUUGUGCCGUAGAAUCUGUUUGCUCGCAAAACGAGAACCUUCAAGGAAGGUAGCUUCUCUAACCAAAAUGGGAAUGUAUCAUGAACCAUAUUAUUUCCCAGGUCCAGAACCUCAAGUGCUGUGCAAUUGGCUAAUGAUCUCGACAGCUCCCCGUCCAAUUUAUUCCCAGCUAUUUUGAGUAACCCUAGUCGAGUGGGUUGAAGGAAAUCAAUGGAUAGUUCACCAGAAAACUGGUUUGAAGCAAUGUCCAAUACAUCCAAAGUUGGGAAAACAGAUUUAUGUUUGAAAUGUUUAAUUUGACCAUAAAAUCUAUUUUCCCGCAAUAUUAGAACCGUCAAGUAAGGCAAUUUCUCCAACCAAAAAGGGAAUGUAUCAUUCAUCUUGUUGUUUCCCACGUCCAAAACUUCAAGCUGAGUGCAUUCAGCUAAUGAUCUGGGCAACUUCCCUUCCAGUCUAUUCUCACUAAUUUUGAGAAUUUGUAGUUUGGUUGCUUUUGAAAAUUUUGGUAACAUUCCACUGAAGUUAUUUCCUUGCAGAUUCAAGAAAUAGCAUUCAUUUUGCCUAAGCAAUUUGGAAUUGGGCCACUCAAAUUGUUACAAGAUAGACCGAAACUGCCAAAUUGACUCAUAUUGCCCAAGCAAUUUGGAAUUGACCCACUCAAAUUGUUAGAAGAUGCAUAAAAACUGCCAAGUUGACUCAUAUUGCAUAACCAAUUUGGAAUUGGGCCACUCAAAUUGUUAUAAGAUGCGUCGAAAUAGAAAAAGCCUCGUGAAAAAGUUGAAAGGUCCAAAGAUGAGAGAUGGUUAUUAGCAAGAGACAGAUACCGCAAACUUUUUUUCCACACCCUGUUUGGUAUUGCACCACUUAUUUUAUUAUUUGAAAGGUCCAGAAAUUAUUUUUGACUCUUUAAGAACUCCGGAAACGCACUUAUGUUACAGGAUCCCAGAUACAAUCGCCUCAACAUUGGGAAAGAGAAGUUUGCAUCACUUAAGGGAAGUUGUUUUGGAAAAUCAAUCAUAUUGAAAGAAAGGUACACCUGUGAAAGAGUGCUCUUCCACAACCAAUUAGGCACAAUACCAUGGAUAUGGUUGUUAGAAAGUUCCAGAGAAAUCAACUUGUCUUUUGUUUUGAUGAAUUCUGGGAAUUCAGUAAGGUUGCAUGAACUUAGCCUUAGGCUUUCUAAUAGGGGAAAAGUAAGACUUAUGUUGUCACUUUCAAUUAAGAAGCUUAUAUUGUUUAGCGAGAGAGUCCUUAAGUUCUUGAGUUGGACACACAUGUCAAGCUUCAUGGAACUGAAGCUAUUACCUUCGAUAUAAAGCCAUUCAAGCCGUGGAAGUUGAAGGAUUGACUUUGGGAUUGGUCCUGUUAAAUAAUUAUUGCCUAUAUAUAGUACUUCAAUCAAAGAAGAAGAUGCAUUGGGGAACUCAUUAAUUUUCCCAACCAAUUGAUUGUCUCCAUGAUGCAGGAUCUUCAACGAUGGAAGAGUGAAUAAAGAAGAAUGUAUUGAUCCAAAAAGCUUGAUCCCAUCCAAAUUGUGAUUUACAAGAUUAGGAACUCCAAAUCUAUGAAACAAAGGGGUUAAACCACUGAAAUUAUUAUAUCUUAGAUUCAAGUUCACGAGGUGACUAAGAUUUGCAAUUGACGAUGGAAUGGGUCCAAAAAAGUUGCAAGAAGAAAGAUGUAAAUUUGUCAGGAACUUAACAUUACCAACCAAUUCAAGUAGUUUUCCACUGAAAUUUGUAAAAGAAAGCGACAAACUCUGUAAAGCAUUGUUUGCUGGAAAUUCUGGCAACUGACCCAUAAGUUGGCCAUUGCCUGAAAUGUCAAUGCUUUGAAUUUUUGGCAAUAAGAGAAUUCCGGUUGGAAAAUGCCCACGCAAAUUACAGUACCUCAAACUGAGAGAAACCAAACGAGAGGAAGUUUCCAAGAAAUUGGGAGGUAAAUAAGAGAUUGGGUUCCCACCAAGGAUAAGUUUGGAAAGAAAAGAGAGUCUUGAGAGAGAAGAACAUAAUGGACCUUUCAAACCACAGCUUGACAGACUCAACACAUGCAGGUUUGGAAGUACAAGAGAUGUGGUUUCACACCAUUUAGCACUUUGAGUUGAAAUGUCCACACUAUCCAAAUAAAGCGCUGUGAGAAACCUCAAAUUCUUGAUUAAUGUCUUGAAGUUUGGAUUCUCUAAUUUAAGAGGCUGUUGAGGUUUGUAAUAGUUGUAGAAGGCAGGGUACAGAACUUUGUAAUAUCUCAAAUAACAAGAAUCUUGAUUGGAUAGAUCAAGAGAGACUAACCUAUUUAAGAAUGAGAUCUCCACUGGAAUUUGGCCAUGGAAACAUGAGCUUGAAAGGUUGAGAUGAGUUAGAUUUUGGAGUUUAUCAAACCCAUAGGAAAACAGAGUGGUAUUAAAGUUGUUUCCAGCAAGAUUCAGGUGUUGAAGAUGAUGGAGAUCGAAUAUGGAGUGGAAGCUGCCUGAAAGGUUUUUGUAACUAAGAUCAAUGCCAACGACAUGACCAUAAGCAUCACAAGUGACUCCUUCCCAAGAACAACAAUCAGUGUUGACAUCCCAGAGGUCAAAAUUGGAAGAGAAAGUAAAAUUAGGGGCACAGUAAAGAUGACGCUGCAAUUGCAGCAGAGGAGCUCUCUGGUCAUCAAGGCAUUGCUGAGGGAGAUGAGUUUGAGGAGGUGAAAAAGACAAGACAAGAGAAAGGAAGCAUGAGAAGAGGAAGGGUGAAAUAAGGAAAUGAAGAGUGUUCAUGUUGGUUGGGUGUGAAGAAGGAUUGUGCUUGGCAUACAACUUAUUUAUACACAAAUGUGUAGUUUUCAUGUUUGGCAUAUAACUUAUUUAUUAUUAGUAUUAUUAUUAUUAUCCCAUGCUUGCAAAGGUUGACCAAAAAGACUUAACUAAAGUGGUGGAACAUUAUUUUGAUGCAGUAUUGAUUGGGCAAAAAGACUUCGAAAUUGCAUGCUAUGCCAAACAUGAAAACUACACAUUUGUGUAUAAAUAUUAGACAUAUUAGAGGGAUUGAAACUGAAAUUUAACAUUUUAUUGUAAAUUUUUUUUUUAAAAAAAAGAUAAAGGAAAGGAAAGGAAAUAAAUUAUAGAUUAAAUCUCAAAUUUAGGCAUAUUAAAGAAACUAAAUUUUAAAUUUUUUUGUAAAAUGUAAAAUUAAAAAAGAAAAGGAAAAAUGAUUGGGUAUGCGACAUGUAAAAAGAAAGAAGGUCGAAACCAAUUUUUAUAUAUAAGUAUAUAGAUUAUAUAUAAUUAUUCUUACAUAAUUUAAUUUUUUUAAUAAAAAUUACUAUUAAAAUCUUUUAAUUAAAUUUUGGUAUAACACCCAAAAGAAUUAAUUUAUAUACCAAACUAAUUUAUAAAUGAGUACUUUUAAGUCCUAAUUUAUGAAACAGUACCAAACUUAUAAAUAUGCUAUGACCUAUUGAAGGGUUUAAUUAAAUUUAACACCCCAAAUUAUAAGUUGCAUCAUUCUAAAUUUAUCUCUAAACUUCAAAAACUUUUAACUAAAUAAUAGUAAAAUAUAUUGUUGGUCUUAGUCUUAGUUUUAAUAUUUGGGAUUGCAAGCGAAUUUCUAAGUCUUAGUAUAAGAAUAGAAUGUUAUUAACCUUAGUCAUGAAAAUAAUGUUUCUACCACUUUUCUUAACUGAUUGAGAGACAUUGAUGGGUCAAAGACUAAAUUUUGUUGGUGACUUCUCAAUGAACUUGUCCAAGUGUAUCAAAUCAAUAGAAACACAAUGAAACUAAAUAAUGGUUUGGUUUGAGGAAAAUAUAAGCUAUUCUUAGUCUUUGCUUUCAUUUGCACAAUGUUUGGCACUUUUCUUAUCAUAUUUGAACUUCACUCCAUAUGUUUGCUUUCAAUUUAAAACCAUAUUUAUUAUGUGGAUUAAAUCAUAGUAUUGUUAUUCAAAUUUAAAAUAAAGAAAUUAUUUCUCAAGGUAUCUAGUUGGUAAGUAAAUAUUUGCAUUUUGUUAGCCCAUUUACAGAGUAGAUGCCAUAGUUUUAAAAGUUGCUUCACAAUUAAGCCGAGGAUCGAAUCCUCGACCACGGAUUAAGGUAAGAAAGACUCUUACCAUCUCAUCUAACUCUAGUUAUUAAAAUUAAAAUUAAUUUGAAUACCAUAAAUUCAAAUAUUAAUAUUUACAUCUAUUCCAAAUUCAUUAUACAUAAUAAUUAAAAUAUUCAAAUCUAAAUAUUAUCAAAAUUCGUACUCUGGUGAUUAAAAUAUUUGUAUCCUAUUAGUCAUAUUAAUUAUGAUAUUUUCGUCAUUUUGCUUCAUCUUUAUUCUAUUAUGAUAUUUUCAUACUAUUAAUCAUAUUUGAUGUUCGCGAUUUAUUGAUAUAAAAUUUUUAGACAUUAAAUGAUGUUAUUAUUCUAAAUAUAUGCAAGCUCGACUUUGAAGUCCAACCUAUUUUAAACAUCUUUCCUUGUUGAUUGUGGAGAAUGGACCGUGAUUGCAUUGAAAAUACCAUUGAAGAAUAAUAAUUAAAAUAAUCAUAUUUUAUACUAUAAAAUAUUUAUUAUUGAAUAUUUAUAAAUUAUAUAUAUUUUUCUCAUUAAAAUAUCAAUAUAAAUAUUUUUUAAUUAUAUAUUAAGAAUAUUAUUUAAAAUUAAAUUAAAUUAUUAAAAUUUAUUAAUAAAAUAAAAUUAUAAUAUUAAAAUUAAAAAUAUAUUAUUAAUAUAAUUAUAUUAAACUUGAUUCAAAUUAAUUUUGUAUAUAAAGAUAAAAAUAUUCAUAAAUAAGCUUUGUUCGAUAAAUUAAUUACGUUUUCCAAAAAGUCAAAUUAAUUUACAGAAAAAUGAUAUUAUUUAAAUUUCCAUACUAAAAUACUUUUAAAUUUAAUUAAAAUUAUCAAAGACGAAUGAAAUUCAUGAAAUUAAUUUAACAACUUUUCAAUUUUUCGAAAAAAUCAAUUUGAUUCUUCUUCUUUUUUCAAAAUUUAUCAAGCCAAUUGAAACACAAAAAAAUUUAAUAUUUUUAAUUUUUGACUGACAAAAAAAAUGAUACUAUGAGAUAUUUUUUAUAUUAUUAGACCUAAUCUUAAUCUUUGGCAUUCCAUGCAAAUGUCUAAAUCUUUUUGCCCCUUUACUACGGCAUUAAAACAAUGUUUAGCAAAUUUCUUAGGGAGAUGGAUUGAUGGAUAUAAGUAGUGGAAAUUUUGAUGAUACAAUUCUUCUCUUCUUAACAAUUUCUUUCAAAGAAACAUAUUUAAAUUUCCACACCGAAACUUCUUUAAUUUAAAGGAAUAAAUCUUAAAAUUAUAAACUAUGUGUUAAUGUGUAAUUGUAUACAUGAAUUUUGAUUUUAUGCAAUGUUAUACAUGAAAUUUUGAUUUGAUUCAAUUCUUGUAAUUUAUUAACACAAUUAUUGAUAUAACAACAUUUUAUGUCUAUAUAUUGUAUACAUAAAUAAUUAUAUUUAUCUAAUAUAAAAAUAAAUUGAUGUUUUUAUUUCAUUAAAUGUGUAUGAUUAAAUCAAAAUUAAAAUUUGAAUUAUACAUUUGAACCACAAUUAGAGUUCCACGUGUAUGAUUACACCAAACUAAAGUUCAUAUAUAUAAUUGCACAUUAAAUUAAAGUUUAUAUAUAAUUUUAAGUUUUAUCCCUAUUUGAAAUUAUCAAAGACAAAUGAGAUUAACGAGAUGUAUUAUAUUAUAAACAAAGUUCGAUUCUUUGAAAAAGUUAAGCUCCAAUUUCAGAAGUUUUUUUUUCCAAAGUUUAUCAAACGAAUUCAAACACUAUGAGAUUAAACAACAUAUAAUUUUUUAAAUCUAAAAUAUGGAUUUUUUUUCUUUUUUAAAUCUAAAGUCAGUUCCAAUUUUCUAGUGUUUUAGAUUGUUUACUAACACUAAAAAGCACACCACAUUGUAAGGCAUCAUUUCUUUCAUUGUAUUUUUUUUUUUACGUAGACACCAAAAUUUCAUCGGGAUACAAAUCAGCACUUUGUGGUAAACUCAAUUUAACUCAAUUUUAAUUGUAGCAAAGCUUUUAACCGGGGGCUCUUUUUCCACCAUUUUUCUUCUAACACUUUCGGCUCCCAGCACUCUGGAGGCAUCCUCCAUCACUGAACAUUCUUCACUCACCUUCAUCAUUGCCACCACCAACCACAUCAGCAUCAGAAUCAACAUAAUCAUCUUCAUCUCAGUCACCUCUCUCACCUCUAACCCAUACCAACAUUUUUAGGGUACAAAAUUGUGCUCCAAGACACAAGCAUAGUGACACCUGAGAAUCAUCCAAUUCAUCUUCAUGUAUACGAUUUCUAUAUCAUUGCACAACGUUUAAAGAACUUCGAUCCUAAAAGGGAUACUUCUAAAUUCAACCUUGUUGAUCCACCUGUGAGGAACACCGUUGGAGUGCCUGUGAAUGGAUGGGCAACCAUCAGAUUCGUCGCUGAUAAUCCAGGUAAACACCCUUCUUCAUCAUUUCAAUUACUGUGAUUCCAUUACCAAUUUUUUACUUGUUAUUAGUAUUUUUCUUAAUCAUUUUCAUAGUAUUGUGGCAUACCAAUUCUUCCCUGCAUCUGGGAAACUAGUUUAAUGCUCUGUUUCAUUGGAUAAAUUUCCCUAAAAAGUAUGUGUACAUUGUAAUAAUAGUGUGAGAUAGUGUCGGCCUUUGGCUAACAUUGGAAAACAUACUAGAUUGUAACACAAAAAUUCUUUCAUUAUAUUUUAAUUAUUAUUAUCAUAUUAUUACAUACAAAGUUUAAUUGAAUGGUAAUUUUUAACGUAAUAAUAUUAUCAUUGAAAGGAUAAAUAGACUAAUAUAAAAACAAGUGUCAAGCUGCACUAAAACCCGGACCAACGGGUCCACCCUUUACACCCAGACCUAAAGCAUAAGACGUGAUUGAAAAAUGCUUGUAGUCAUAAGAAACUAAUUACCAUUUUCUUCAAAGAUAACGUACCUCCUGACUGGAUAUUCCAUGUCCUGUGCAUUGCUAAAUGAUACAUAAAAUUACAAUAGAAUCUGGAAAAUGAAUGUCAAUGCUACGAGUAGGAUAUGAUAGAGAAAUUUACUUUUCAACAACUAUAUAUAUCAACUACCUUUUCAAAUUAGAAAGACUAAUGCUUAAUUAGACUAAUGCUUAAUUACCAGCUAAUUUUGAAACAAGAAUUCUGAUGGAGUCACCUACACCUUACCUUAAACAUGAUAAUGCUGGCAAUUAUGGUGAACGUUGUGAACAUGACAUAGUAAACAGGACAUACAACAGUAGUAUGAAAAGUGUCUAAAGCAUGCAAAAUUGUAAGCUUUUAGUAGCAUCAAGAAUAAUAACAACUUAAAUUUAGAGUCAAUCAUCAUAUUAAAUCAAGAAUAUAAGUUGAAAGAAAUUAUUUUUUUAAAAAACACAUUUAUGCUUUUUUAUCCUAUAAGCAAUUUAAUAAUGAACAAAUUGAUCUCUCAACAAAAAUUACAAAAUAUUUCAAAAUAGUUUUUAAAAUUCAAAAUAUUUAUAAAAAAAUUAAAUUAUAUUUAUUUUUUCAAUUGUAAGAAUAUUUUUAUUAUUUUGUUUUGAAAAAGUUUUCAAAUGUAUAUAGUUUUAAAUUUAUGUGCUCUAACAUUGAAUUAGUUAUCCUAUAACAAGAUUUUAAUUUGACAUAUUUAAUUUUUUAAUUGAACUUGAAUAAUUUCACUCGAUUCAAUUUGACUCGAAUUUUAUUUCACUCGACUCAAUUCGAAAAAAUGUCAAAUCAAGUUAGGAUGAUAAAUAGGACUCAUUAGUUCAAUUAACUCAAAAAAUUUUCACUUGAUUCGAUUAAACACUCAUAAAAAUCAUCAAAAAUAAAUGAGACGGAGAUAAUUUGCUGAAGGAUAAGAUGAAAUGUGUUUUAGAAAUUAACAUUUUUUUUCUUUGGCAUGCAAGCUAAUGUUCAAGUCUUUUUACCCAAUAAUGAGUACUCCUAAAUCCAACUUAUAAAUAUGUUAUGAUCUACCAACGGGCUUAAUUAAAUCCAACACCCCAAAUUAUGGGCUCAACUCUAAAUUCAAGAUUUGGCAUUGCAUGCAAAUGUCUAAGUCUUUGCCCGAUCCUUACUAGAUGAAAACAAUGGUUUACCACUUUGUUUAAGUCAAGUCAUUAUAAACACAAAAAUAAAGCAUUUGUGUUAGCUGGUUGAGAUGGAUUGAUGAGUGAAAAUUAUGAUGACCACACAAUUUCUGCGAAACUUCGAUUGGUACAAAAUAAGUGCGAGGCUGUACCAAAACCCAACAUGUGUUUGAUAAAAUAAAAACCCAAUGUGUCAGCAAAAGGUGGGAGUAGCAGCAGCAGCUGUCUCUUUACACAAUCAGUACAAUGUCCAUCAGAUAUGGCUUUCAUGUUUGCUGGCUGUGAAGGAGGAUUGUUUCCAUACAACUUAUUUAUACACAAAUUAGUUCUUUCCAUACAUUAUUUUGAAUUUUGGACUAAGCCCGAUCACUACUGCAUCAAUGUUGUACCACUAACUUUAUUUUGGUCAAUUAAUAAAAAAAAAUGGAAUUGUGGUGAUUUUUUUUAGCUGAUUGAGAUAAAAUGAUGGCUCAAAGACUAAAUUUUCUCAUAACUUUGAUGACUUUUCAAUGAACUUAAAGUGUAUGGAAUCAAUAGAAAUUUAUGGAAUGAGAUAUUAUUGGACUUAGUCUUAGCCUUUUGGCACUGUAUGCAAAUGUCUAAAUCUUUUUUACCCCAUCAAAACAAUGUUUAGCAAGUUUCUUAUGUAGUUGAGAUGGAUUGAUGGGCACAAGUAGCGGAAAUUUUGAUGAUAAAAUGUUUACAAUUUUCCUCUUCUUAGCAAUUUCUUUGAAAGAAACAUAUUUAAAUUUUCACAAUAAAAUUUCUUUAGAUUUAAUUGAAAUUAUCAAAGAAAAAUGAGAUUGACAAGAUAUCUUAUAUUAUUAACAAUUUUUCGAUUCUUUCAAAAAAUUAAUUUCAAUUUCAAAAGUUUUUUGAAAUUAAUAGAACUAUCAUUGAAAGGAUAAACAAACUAGUAUAAAAAUAAGUGUCCGGCUGAACUAAAACUCAGACCAACAGGUCCACCCUUUACACCCGGUCCUAAAGCCCAACACGUGAUUGAUAAAAUAUAAAGCUAAUAUCUGUUUGGAAGAGCAAAGGAUGAGAGUAGCAGCAUCUGCGUCUCUUUACACAAUCCGUCCAAUGUCCAUCAGAUAUGGCUUCCAUCAACAUCAUGCCAUUAAAUCUCCUCAGCUGUACAAAUAUUCUGAAGAUAAAAUAAUUGAAGUAAAAGUAAAUUGCAUAUAAAAGAAAGCUUGGGCAGCCAUUUCCUUGUUUAUAAUAUCAUUAUUAGCAUGGAAAUUCAGUAGCAGUGAAACAUUGCAUCCCCCAAAUCCACAGGGACCUGGAUGCAAAAUGAAUAAACACUAAUAUAUACUCAUGGAAAACUACAAAAGGAAAAAAGUGCAUAUAAAGCAAAAUUACAAACCAGUGGAUUGAUCUUGUUAGGAUCAUUGCCUACAUUCUUCAUGAACCUCACAACUGUACAUUCCAUGUCCUGCUUCAAGUACCUCCUGCAUUGCUCAAUGGUAACAUCAAAUUACAAGUACGAUAUAAUAGUGAACUUGGUAAAGACAGCAAAAAAUGAGGUUAUAUAUAUAUAUAUAUAUAUCAACUAUCUGUUCAAAUUAGAAAGACAAAUGCUUACCAGCUAAUUUUGAAGAAAGAAUUCUGAUGGAGUCACCUAUAUCUUCUGCUAUUUCUUUUCCCACACUUUUUGAACUUGUCCACCCAUUUGUUUCCCAACUCAUUCAGCACUGUAUAUCCAAUACAUAGCCCAACGACUAAUCCACUAGCAUAACCUAUCAACGCAAUUUUCCAAGUAGACAGAGCAUAUAACCAUGAAUCUUCAUCUUCCCCUGGAGGUGGUGGCAUUGGAAGACCAACUUCAUUGCAUUUUCUUGACAAUGGCAGCCCACACAAUUUUGGGUUCCCACGGUAGGAAUCAUUUGUAAAUGUAAUGAAUUGGUUGCUUUGUGGUAUGCUCCCUUCAAGUUGGUUGUAUGACAAGUUCAAUGCUUCCAGGAAAGUUAGACUUGUAAGUUGUGGAGGAAUCUUCCCUGACAGCUUGUUUCUUGAGAGAUCCAAAGAUUCGAGGUCUUUUAGAUUUUGAAGUGCUAAUGGGAUUUCACUAGAGAAGCUAUUGUUGGAUAAGUUCAUCACUCUGAGUGACCUCAGCAUUUGUAUUUCUUCUGGUAUUCUCCCAUGGAAACUAUUGUUGGAAAGGUCAAGACAAGUAAGAAUUGCCAAGACUUUUUGGUAGAACAUUUCAAUCCCUUUGUUAACAAUUGUCACAGAGUCUUGAUAAUAAUUCUCUCCGAUAUAAUUCAGCUUAGCCUUUUCGUCAUUAGUCAUCUUCGCCAUUGCCUUCAAAC